rnacentral:rRNA from 1 species
UGAAAAGGUUUGGAAUCUGCUCAUAAAGAAUCGGCUGCGGCGUGCAUAAUACAUGCAAGUGGAACUCUUCUCUUCUCACGAGAGCUUGCACUCGAGAGAAAAGAGGAGUGGCGGGCGGGUGAGUGACACGUGGGUAACUAACCCAUCAGAGGGGGGAUAACACUGGGAAACAGGUGCUAAUGCCGCAUAACAGUUUAUUCCGCAUGGCAUAAGAGUGAGAGGCGCUUUCGGGUGUCUCUGAUGGAUGGACCCGCGGUGCAUUAGAUAGUUGGUGAGGUAUCGGAUCUCCAAGACCCCGAUGCAUAUCCGUCCUGAGAGGGUGAUCGCCCCCACUGGGAGUGAGACACGCCCCACACUCUUACGGGAGGCAGCAGUAGGGAAUAUUCGGCAAUGGGGGAAAGUCUGUCCGAGCAACACCGCGUGAGUGAAGAAGGUUUUCGGAUGGUAAAACUCUGUUGUUAGAGAAGAACAAGGACGUUAGUAAAUGAGCGUCCCCUGACGGUAUCUAUCCAGAAAGCCCCGGCUAAAUACGUGCCACCACCCGCGGUAAUAUGUAGGUGGCAAGCGUUGUCCGGAUUUAUUGGGCGUAAAGAGAGCGCAGGCGGUUUUUUAAGUGUGAUGUGAAAACCCCCGGCUCACCCGGGGAGGGUCAUUGGAAACUGGGAGACUUGAGUGCAGAAGAGGAGAGUGGAAUUCCAUGUGUAGCGGUGAAAUACGUAGAUAUAUGGAGGAACACCAGUGGGGAAGGCGGCUCUCCGGUCUGUAACUGACGCUGAGGCUCGAAAGCGUGGGGAGCACACACGAUUAGAUACCCCGGUAGUCCCCGCCGUAAACGAUGAGUCAUAAGUGUGGAGGGCUCCUCCCUUCAGUACUGCAGCAAACGCAGUAAACUCCCGCCUGGAGC